rnacentral:rRNA from 1 species
GACGAACGCUGGCGGCGUGCUUAACACAUGCAAGUCGAACGAUGAAGCGCUGUCUUUUUGGUGGUGUGGAUUAGUGGCGAACGGGUGAGUAAUACGCGGGCAACCUGCCCCUCUGCUUCGGGAUAAGCUUUGGAAACGGGGUCUAAUACCGGAUGUGCCUGUCUGGUCGCAUGGCUGGGCGGGGAAAGAUGUUUUUCGGCGGGGGAUGGGCUCGCGGCCUAUCAGCUUGUUGGUGGGGUGACGGCCUACCAAGGCGUCGACGGGUAGCCGGCCUGAGAGGGUGGUCGGCCACACUAGGACUGAGAUACGGCCCAGACUCCUACGGGAGGCAGCAGUGGGGGAUAUUGCACAAUGGGCGCAAGCCUGAUGCAGCGACGCCGCGUGGGGGAUGGAGGCUUUCGGGUUGUAAACCCCUUUCGGCGCGGGACAAGGCUCCGUUUGGCGGGGUUGAGGGUACGCGUCAAAGAAGCGCCGGCUAACUACGUGCCAGCAGCCGCGGUAAUACGUAGGGCGCGAGCGUUGUCCGGAAUAUUGGGCGUAAAGGGCUCGUACGCGGCUUGUCGCGUCUGCUGUGAAAACGCGGGGCUCAACUCCCCGCGUGCAGUGUGUACCGGCAGGCUGGAGUGCGGCACGGGUGGGUGGAAUCCUGGGGUACCGGUGUAAUGCCCAGAUAUCAGGAAGAAAUCGAUGUGCGAGGAUGGCCACUGGGGCGUCCCUGA